UCCGGCUUAUCACCGGCAGUCCCUCUAGAGUGCCCAACUAAAUGAUGGCAACUAAGGGCGAGGGUUGCGCUCGUUGCGGGACUUAACCCAACAUCUCACGACACAAGCUGACGACAGCCAUGCAGCACCUGUGUUACCGUUCCCUUUCGGGCACACUCACCUCUCGGCAAGCUUCGGUACAUGUCAAGGGUAGGUAAGGUUUUUCGCGUUGCAUCGAAUUAAUCCACAUAAUCCACCGCUUGUGCGGGUCCCCGUCAAUUCCUUUGAGUUUUAAUCUUGCGACCGUACUCCCCAGGCGGUCAACUUCACGCGUUAGCUACGUUACCAAGUCCGUUAAGACCCGACAACUAGUUGACAUCGUUUAGGGCGUGGACUAC
rnacentral:misc_RNA from 1 species